AAAAUAGCAUGAAUUAUUCAAAAAUUACAUGCUAUCGUUUGAAUUGAGACACACGGAUCAUUGUAAUUUUAGUAAAGAACAAGUAUUAUUUAAAAGAAACUUUGAAAAAUACAAUGUUUUAGAAUAAAAAUACAUGUCAACAAAAGUAAACGGCGAUAGUGAUGAAUACGGAAGAGGCGGGGGUGUUAUGGAUAUGAUGGUGGUGAAUACGGAGGCGGUAGUGUUUACAGAUCUAGUAAUACUAAAUACGGAGGAGGCGGUGGUGUUACAGAUCUAGUGGUGGUUAUUGUUGUAAGGGAAGAGGAGGUUAUGGAAGCUUUAGUAGUAAAGCUAUUUGCCUAUAAAGCUAUUUGUCCCCUCAACCAAAACCCUAUUAUAAGGAUAUGAGAGUAAUUUAAAGUUGGUUUCCGACAGGUACUAUACGUCCAUGGUUAGUUUGUAUAAUAUUAUGGAUUUCAUGGUCAUCUACUGCAUAUACCCAUUAAUAUUUCACGUAAUUAUUUUUAUAGAAGGCCUUCUACCAAAAAAAUUAAAUAAAUU
rnacentral:sRNA from 1 species